CGGCGUGGCUAAUACAUGCAAGUCGUACGCUAGCCGCUGAAUUGAUCCUUCGGGUGAAGUGAGGCAAUGACUAGAGUGGCGAACUGGUGAGUAACACGUAAGAAACCUGCCCUUUAGUGGGGGAUAACAUUUGGAAACAGAUGCUAAUACCGCGUAACAACAAAUCACACAUGUGAUCUGUUUGAAAGGUCCUUUUGGAUCGCUAGAGGAUGGUCUUGCGGCGUAUUAGCUUGUUGGUAGGGUAGAAGCCUACCAAGGCAAUGAUGCGUAGCCGAGUUGAGAGACUGGCCGGCCACAUUGGGACUGAGACACUGCCCAAACUCCUACGGGAGGCUGCAGUAGGGAAUUUUCCGCAAUGCACGAAAGUGUGACGGAGCGACGCCGCGUGUGUGAUGAAGGCUUUCGGGUCGUAAAGCACUGUUGUAAGGGAAGAAUAACUGAAUUCAGAGAAAGUUUUCAGCUUGACGGUACCUUACCAGAAAGGGAUGGCUAAAUACGUGCCAGCAGCCGCGGUAAUACGUAUGUCCCGAGCGUUAUCCGGAUUUAUUGGGCGUAAAGCGAGCGCAGACGGUUUAUUAAGUCUGAUGUGAAAUCCCGAGGCCCAACCUCGGAACUGCAUUGGAAACUGA
rnacentral:rRNA from 1 species